rnacentral:rRNA from 1 species
AUUGAACGCUGGCGGCAGGCCUAACACAUGCAAGUCGAGCGGAGCGGCGGACGGGUGAGUAAUGCCUAGGAAUCUGCCUGGUAGUGGGGGAAAAAGUCCGGAAACGGGAGCUAAUACCGCAUACUAUCAGAUGAGCCUAGGGCGGAUGAGCUAGUUGGUGGGGUAAAGGGCGACCAAGGCGACGAUCGGUAACUGGUCUGAGAGGAGGAUCAGUCCCACUGGAACGGAGCGACGGUCCAGACUCCUACGGGAGGCAGCAUUGGGGAAUAUUGGACAAUUGUCGAAAGCCUGCUCCAGCCAUGCCGCGUGUGUGAAGAAGGUCUUCGGAUUGUAAAGCACUUUAAGUUGGGAGGCGUUACCAACAGAAUAAGCACCGGCUAACUUCGUGCCAGCAGCCGCGGUAAUAC